AUGCCAUGCUUCUUCCCUUUAUCAAUGGCAUGUGUCCCUAGUACAAACCAAAUAUCAAAGUGUCAUGAGAAUGUUGAGUUAAGAAAUAGGCAAGAUACAAAAAAUAUAGCUCAAGUUCUAUUGCUUAACUUCACAGAUGCAAGGAAUAUGCAAGUUUUCUAUACCAUUAUAUAUCAUCACAUGAUACAUGAAAAGAAGCAAUGGUGA